rnacentral:rRNA from 1 species
UACAGAGGUCUCAAGCGUUGUUCGGAUUCAUUGGGCGUAAAGGGUGCGUAGGCGGCGCAGUAAGUCGGGUGUGAAAUCUCGGGGCUUAACUCCGAAACUGCAUUCGAUACUGCCGUGCUUGAGGACUGGAGAGGAGACUGGAAUUUACGGUGUAGCGGUGAAAUGCGUAGAUAUCGUAAGGAAGACCAGUGGCGAAGGCGGGUCUCUGGACAGUUCCUGACGCUGAGGCACGAAGGUCAGGGGAGCAAACGGG